rnacentral:tRNA from 1 species
AAAAGAUAAGCUAAAAAUAAAGCUAUUAGGCUCAUAACUUAAAUAUAGGUAUAUAAAACCUUCUUU